CAAAAAUGCAGCCUACAGAAGCCGCCAAACAAAAAAAAAAAGAAACAUAAAAGCUAAAUCUAGAAAUCAAAAUCAAAAUCAAAAUCAAAAGAAAAGAGCUGAAAAGGAAAAGUUGAAGAGUCUAGAAACUCUUCAUCCACCUUCCAUGAGCUUAUACAAACUCAAUCCGCCAUGUCUACGUCUAAGCCUUCAAUUGAUGAACUUCAUGUGCGGGAGAAAAAAAUUAACCCCUCAAAUCGUUGAUGCUAAGUUCAGAGAUAACAAGAGUUUGGUAGGAUUCCUUUUUAAACACUUAAAAAAUCUCACAAGUAUCUUGACCUUCUCAUCAGUGAAGACUUCUUCGACCAUUGAAUUACUUUGAUCAACCAUUGGUUGAGCUUCGUAGAAGCUAAUACCACUAUUAAAGUAUCAAAAGCCAACAGGUUAUUGGCGAAACAAGGUUAGAAGUAACUUGAGUCUGGAAUUUAGUACAUGGACGGAUUGUCCCUGCAGGUCAUAGCUAGAGGGUGGGGUUGAAAUUUCCUUAGCGUGUAUGUACGAGGGCCAGAUGAGUUUGUUGAUUCCAUGAGUGAAACAGGAAAUUAUGCUUCUAUGCUUAAUAAGUUGUAUUGACUGGUUUGACCUAUCUUGACCAUACUUGACUUGGUGAUAAUAUCUUAAUUGUUGCUUGAUCUUAA